GCUCGCUUGGUGAAAUUUGGUAAACACGAUGGAUUUAAAAUUCAUUCUCAUUUUUAUUAGAGUUACUGGUUCAAGUCCAGUAGCGAGUA
rnacentral:tRNA from 1 species